UCAUAGUGUGGAGUUCCUGUCGUUGAGUAAGGUUGCCAGAGCUCUACCAGGGUGCGGUCGGCAACGCGCAUGUAACACCUCUGGAGUUGCAGGCGCCCAUAGGCUACGGUGACUGCUUACCAUCAGGCGGGCCGUAUGCUUGUUUGCCACCGAUGUGGUAUAAAAAAAAAGUAUAAUGUAUAGACAAUAA